UGAACCUUUAAUUCUUUUGAAUUUAUGUGCUAUGAACUCAUGAUGCUCACACUUGUUGGUAAAUGUCAAGUAUUAAGUCAAAUUCUUAUACUUUAGGAACACUUCUUUCAAAGAACAUCGUGGCGAAGCUUCAUUAAAGAUGACAUUUUAUGAGACACAGAUUCUAUUCUCAAAUUAAUUGAGAGACAUUCAUCUUCCCAGAAACCACUUUAAUGACUUGGCCCUUAAGGGAGUGAGCAAGAAUCAAUGCCAAUCCAUCCCAAAACCUAUAUUUUCUGGGAUGCAUUUGUUAUUUGACAGCCAGGAACUGUUUCUAUCAUACAUAAUUCCAUGCUACUCAUGUAUAGUUGGUUUUGUAAUAUGGUUUGUCAUCAGCAACCUUAUUGCAUAUAUUUCCGCUUGACAUUUUCAUAGAUAAAUAAAAAUAAUAGAAAAUAAAGUAGAUAUAUGUUUCAAAUUCUCUAGGAGAUAAGUUAUGCCCAUCAUCAUCUUAUAUCAUGACAGCAAUAUCAACUUGUGGCCAACAGGAUGCAGGUUAUAGUAAAUCAAAAGGCAUUUAAUCCUAUAAGAAUUAAUUAUUGAAAAAUAUGAUUAAUUUUUCAUUACUUAAGUAAACAAUCCUAUUCUCAGGGGUAUCCACAACAUGAAGGAUUUACUCUGCAGUAACGGCAGAUUAAAAGCAAAACAUUAAGAGCCACAGUUGGAAGAAAGGAAUCAAUAUGAGUUGUUUGGAGCUCCCUAAGAUUCAAAUUAAGCACUUGCAGAAACUUUAAGUUUGUAUUUCAUUACAGAACCAAUUCAGCAGCAUACCAAGGACCAAUACAUGUGGCAAAUGAAGAAAAAAGACAGCAUCAUCAACAAAUAGAUUCUCCAAAGCAUCCCAAAAGCUCAAUUAUUUUUGUGAACUAAAACAGCAUAAUUAAUUCCUCUAAUGAUGCUACAACUAGGACAUUCUGAUUGACAUCAUAAGUACCAUUAUGCACUUAGAAACUAUUGGCUUUUUCACAUCAACUUCAAAGCACCACAAUCAGAAGGACUUCUCUAUAACCAUUACAUUCUCAGUUCCUAAAACACAAAACAGCCAACAAAAAUCCUAAUCCUUGAAAUUGAACAAAGCUAACUUGAAAAAAAUACCUAUUUAAGAAAAUGUCCCAGAUAUUAAAACUCAAAAAAGGACCCAUUAAUUAUCAAUCAACGAAAAUAUUAGUGAAACAUUAAACACCAAACACAGCAAAAUUAGAUGAAACGGCAGCACACAAAGCUCAGAGAGUGGACACAAAAUGACAUAAAAUAAAUGGACACUAGCCAUAAACUGGUCAAGCUCUUUCUCGUCCACCCCUUGACCAUUCCCAAGCACGGAGUACUUAGCCACCACUUGCUGCGACUGAGCGAGCUGCGUGUCGAUCCUCGCCAGCUGGUCCACCGGUGUCGCUAUCCUCAAACAAGCAACAUGAGCCGCUAGCAACUGCUCGUAAAGCGGAUGACCCAAUAUCUCCGCUUUGCACUUCGCCCUCUCCCAAUUAUCCCCACCAGCUCCGCUGCCAUCUAUCAACUCAUCCUCACCACCGUUGUUAUUAUUAUUAUGGCCGCCUUUCUCGCUUCGGCUUCGACCUAAACCGUCGUCGUUGAGACGGAGCACAGCGUUGCUAAGCCACGCCGGACCAGCAGAAGCGGAGGAAGAGGCAGAGGCAGAGAGUGGUGAUUGAAAAGCCAUUUCAUGUGAAACAUGAUCCUGAAAAGCCAUUUUUGUGCAGAAGCAAGCACUUUCACCACAACAUUAUGCAAAGAAAACAACAACCCAGAAGACAAAAAAACGCAGCUCUAGCUUUUAUGCUUGGGAGAAGCCGAGGUGCUUGGGUUUAGUUCUUUAAUGGAGUUUUACAGAGAAAGCGUGUGUUUUUUCUUGGUUUUGACAGAAGAAGAAGAGGAAAUGGAGGGGGGGGUAAGAGCAGGUCCUUGCGGGUGGACUUUUGGCGGAUAAUCGGACCGUGAGAUUAGAGGACACGUGUUGGUUUAGGGAAGUUAAUCACUCUUAUUAUUGGGGGAUUAAGCAGAUGAUUUGUCUAAUGCCAAACAUUUCUUGGCACUUGUCUCACUUAUCAUUAACAUAAAAAUAUUAUAAAUCCUUUUUCC
rnacentral:misc_RNA from 1 species